UACGGAGGGUGCAAGCGUUAUCCGGAUUUACUGGGUUUAAAGGGUGCGUAGGUGGGUAGGUAAGUCAGUGGUGAAAUCUUCAAGCUUAACUUGGAAACUGCCAUUGAUACUAUUUAUCUUGAAUACUUUGGAGGUAAGCGGAAUAUGUCAUGUAGCGGUGAAAUGCUUAGAUAUGACAUAGAACACCAAUUGCGAAGGCAGCUUACUACACAGUUAUUGACGCUGAGGCACGAAAGCGUGGGGAGCAAACAGG
rnacentral:rRNA from 1 species